GAAGCUUAGGCAGAGUGCCAGUUCCAGUGCAAGAUACAAGAGGACAGUCUUAUUUGUCUUGCAUAAUCUUACCAUGUAUUUUACACCAAAAUCUCACUAAUUGCAUAAAAAAUAAAGAGUUUUCUACUGUAGCAAUCAGUAAACACUGGGGUUAUUUUUCAGUAUAAUGAAAACAGGAACUUAUACCUCAGGAUAAAUAUUUCCCUUGUGCCUCGCUCUUUUUCCAUAAGAACACUGAAGAAAUCAGCACUCCUUGGUAGUUUAUUGAAUUAUUGGCAAGGCUUCUACUCACAGUGUGACCUUCUCUGAGUGGGAACAGUCGUCCUCUUCCCAGUGAUGCAAUCUGAGGGCUUUGCUGUACUUCUCAUGGAGUAACUGGCUUCUAGAACUUCUGAUGGCAGUACAACUCACAGAGUCAGCAAAUCUGAACAUGAAAUAUUGCAGUUCCAGUUAAAAGGAUGUGAAACCCAUCUUACACUAUGCUUGUUGUCUGAUUUCUGUAUGAAUAGUUGGAAGCAGUGCCUCUAGUCAUUACGAGUUGUUGCAUUUUGACUGUACUUUUCCAUUCUCAUCAAACUCACUUCCAUAAGUGUUUAAAUG